rnacentral:piRNA from 1 species
UGAGACAAUGGCUGAAAUAUCAGAAGGUGU